rnacentral:rRNA from 1 species
AUGAACGCUAGCGACAGGCCUAACACAUGCAAGUCGAGGGGCAGCACAAGGAGCAAUCUGAGGUGGCGACCGGCGCACGGGUGAGUAACACGUAUGCAACCUGCCUGUAAGCGGGGAAUAACCCGUUGAAAGACGGACUAAUACCGCAUAAUACUAAAUUACUGCAUGGUAAUUUAUUUAAACAUUUAUGGCUUACAGAUGGGCAUGCGCAUGAUUAGCUAGUUGGAGAGGUAACGGCUCCCCAAGGCAACGAUCAUUAGGGGUCCUGAGAGGAAGGUCCCCCACACUGGUACUGAGACACGGACCAGACUCCUACGGGAGGCAGCAGUGAGGAAUAUUGGUCAAUGGACGAGAGUCUGAACCAGCCAAGUCGCGUGCAGGAAGAAUGUCCCUAUGGAUUGUAAACUGCUUUUGCAGGGGAAUAAAGUGCAUCACGUGUGAUGUUUUGUAUGUACUCUGCGAAUAAGGAUCGGCUAACUCCGUGCCAGCAGCCGC